rnacentral:tRNA from 1 species
AGACAUUUAGCUUAUAAAUAAAGCAGCCACUUUGAAAGUAGAAGAAAGAUGAAGCGUUUAAUGUCUU